ACAGCUCAUCUUCACACGCUAACCCUCUCUUUCCUUCCUCCCAUCCAGCCUUUACUAUCCACUUGAUUCCUCUCUCUCUCUCUCCGCCUAUCUUUGAUUCGCUCCCUCAUCUAUCAUAAUCGCCGGGAACCUCUUUUUUUUUUUUUCCGGUGAAACCAAAUGCAACCGAGCCAAGAAACUCAAUUCCAUAACCAUUCCCAGUAAAUCUAACAACAGCCCAUUUCUUCUUCUCUUGUUUUCUACAACAAUAAUGUCUGUAUACGAUGGUGCAUUUGUUAACACGGAGCUAUCAAAACCUACAUCAAUCUUUGGUCUCCGUUUAUGGGUAGUCAUAGGAAUCUUAUUGGGCUCAUUAAUAGUUCUUGCCCUCUUUCUCCUCUCUCUUUGCGUUACUUCACGUCGCAAGAACCGACAAUUUAAGCUAACAAAGACAGACACUACCCCUCCAAUCUCUAAAGAGAUUCAAGAAAUCGUGCACUUGCCCGUGCAAGAUCACAAUCACCAUGCGAUUCAGGUGCCGGAGAUCCAGGUUGGGAUCGGGAAGGUGGAGCAUAGAGUGGUGUUUUCGAGUGGGGAGAGUAGAGGGACUGCUAGUGGUGGUGAGACGGCGUCGUUUGGGAGUGGAAGUGUGGGGCCUGAAGUGUCGCAUCUUGGGUGGGGUAGGUGGUAUACUUUGAGAGAGUUGGAGGCUGCUACUGGUGGGUUGUGUGAAGAGAAUGUUAUUGGUGAAGGUGGGUAUGGGAUUGUGUAUCGUGGGGUUUUGAGUGACGGGACUAAAGUUGCUGUUAAAAAUUUGUUGAAUAACAGGGGUCAAGCUGAGAGGGAAUUCAAAGUAGAAGUGGAAGUAAUUGGACGAGUACGGCACAAGAAUCUUGUCAGAUUGCUUGGAUAUUGUGUUGAGGGUGCUUACAGAAUGCUUGUAUACGAGUAUGUUGACAAUGGUAAUCUGGACCAAUGGCUACAUGGUGAUGUUGGAGAAGUCAGCCCGCUAACGUGGGAUAUUCGUAGGAACAUUAUUUUGGGAACAGCAAAAGGAUUGGCCUACCUUCAUGAUGGUCUUGAACCAAAGGUUGUUCAUCGAGAUGUAAAAUCUAGUAACAUAUUACUGGAUCGCCAAUGGAACUCUAAGGUUUCUGAUUUUGGGCUUGCCAAGCUCUUACAUUCUGAGAGAAGUUAUGUCACAACACGUGUGAUGGGAACAUUUGGUUAUGUUGCUCCAGAAUAUGCUUGCACUGGAAUGCUGAAUGAGAAGAGUGAUGUUUAUAGUUUCGGUAUACUUAUCAUGGAGAUAAUUUCUGGGAGAAGCCCUGUUGAUUAUAGUCGGCCACAAGGAGAGGUGAAUCUGGUAGAAUGGUUAAAAACUAUGGUUGGGAACCGAAAAUCUGAAGAAGUGGUUGAUCCCAAGUUACCCGAGAUGCCUGCUUCAAAAGCAUUAAAACGUGCUCUCCUGGUAGCUCUUAAAUGUGUCGAUCCGGAUGCUACAAAGAGGCCCAAAAUGGGACACGUGAUCCACAUGCUUGAGGCUGAUGACUUGCUAUUUCGUGAUGAACGUCGAGUUGGGAGAGAACCUUCCCAUUCACAGCAUGAUUAUGAACAAGAGAAUCAUGCUGCUAUGAAAUUCAUUGAUAAGCAAUCGGGAGAAGGGACUUCAGACACAAGUGAAGGUGAAAGUGGUAGGAAACAUCAUCAGCCAACUAGAUGGAGAUAACAUCAUUGGAGGAUUAGUUUUCCCAGGUGGAAAAUAUGUAAGCAAAGCGACUCACGGCUCCUAUCUGCUUUGGAAUUCUGCGGCAAUCAAUGAAAGGAUGCUUCCUGGUUAAAAUAUACCGAUUGGAUCUAUCACGCUCAUUAAGCACUACAAGACACAUCCAUGUCAGCAGUCCAGUUGUCACCCCAUAAUUUCAAUUGAUCGCUAGCUAGGAAGCAGCCAACAUCUAGUCUGGAAAUGGGGUCAUGCCGUGUGAUUUAUUUAGCCGUCGUUGCCAGAGUACAUGCUUUUGCAUUGUAGCCUAACAAUGAAGCUUGGCAUAAUACCUGUUAAAGUAAAUAGUUUUGGAUGUAUUUGAUGAGUUCAUUUGUCACUUUGCUGCACUUUGCUUUCGGGUUCGUGACUUGGUCUUUAUGAAACAUUCUAACGAAGCAAUCUGUACUGGCGCAAGAUCAUACUUGGUGAAGGCAUUUAUUCGUCCUGUGAUGAUCUAGCGCAGGACCAGUCUAGAGAAAAAAAAAUAAAAAAAAAUGUCAAGCUCGGGGAUUCCACACUUUUUUUGGGCAUGUUUUUAGCUUGGCGUAGGAGCUACUGGUCUCCAUGUCAAUUCGGAAUCCUUCACGUGGCAGGAGCUUCAUUUCUCUCUCUCAUGCCAGUACUAGAAAUGGUUUCAUAUCACUUGUAGGAGGCGACCUGAUACAAUUAACAUUUGUUUGUAUCUUGUGGGGCUGAGAAGCCUGCGUUCAUGAUCACUUUACUGGCGGACGAGCAGAGUUUGUAGGACUACUUUUGGCCAUAAAAUAUUUCAUGAAUCCAGAAUUUGGAUUUAUGAUCAGUAGACCUUUUUAGAGGUGCAAAAUCUUUUUCUGGCCUUUUGUGUGCAAGAUGGGCAAUGUAAGGUGUGAAGAUACACGAUACCUUGCUCAAUUCUCACUCUUCCAGCCCAUUGACCAUAUUAUUCUUGUUCAGAAGCUUUUGAAGGGGCAAGUCUAGAAUAGAAUGCCUGUGUACUGUCAGGGCCAUCACCAGUCUUCAUCUUGAAGGACGAAACAUCUUCAUAGCAUACCAGGCGGUUCAAUGGAGUUUAUUCGACUUGUGUGGACUAGACUCAUGUUUUGAGCCCAAUUUCCAGCGCCGUUGGGUAUCCAUUAUCCAUCACAGCAGCCUGUAAUCAUAUUAGAAUUCAUUGCAGUAACCAGUCAGAAUGUUCUGAUAUAUGUAUGAACCCCGUGCUUGUAUCGAUUCUCUCAAGAAUCCAAGUGAAUGAGCCUGGUCUGUAGUGUAAAGCAAGGAGCGUAGCAGCACCCUUUAAUUUCUAGCUGGCUCCUGUGUGGUUCGAGUUCUUUGGCGGCCGAGUCCAUUCGGGAGCCCUUUGCAAUUUUAGCAUUAGCCAUCUGUACCUGGGCCGAGCCUUUUCCUCUGGCGACUACCUCAAGGAAAUCUUCUUGGAUCCAUUCCCCCACAGGGAAAGAAAGUAUCCAAAUAUAUAAUAUUGUGGUCGGCAAACGAGGUCCAGAUAGGAACGACAACCAGGGCAAUUUCGUGUGGUUAGAAGCAAGGAUCUUGUCCGUUGGAUCACAUGUUCCAUGCAUUAAAUAUAAAGUAAAAUCAAGCUUGAAUUUACUUCCCUGUCUCUGACCCACCAUUUCUGCUCACAAAAAUGCCAGUAAGUAAUCUCCAAA